ACUCUUAUGGCAGAAAAAUGCAUUAGAUUUAGAAUCUACUUAUUCUAAUAUUU
rnacentral:tRNA from 1 species